rnacentral:rRNA from 1 species
UGUAAGCGUAUACCAAAGUUGUUGCAGUUAAAACGCUCGUAGUCGGAAUUUGGCAGUUCCGGAUGUGUGCACGUCGUGUGCGCACUUCGCGGGGAUUGCUUUUGUGGUCUUGCGUAGGAUGAGGCACUUUUAUUAGUGAACGUCCUCACGCAACCACUCUUUACUGUGAGAAAAUCAGAGUGCUCAAAGCAGGCAUUUGCCGUGAAUGUAUUAGCAUGGAAUAAUAGAAUAGGACUCGGUUCUAUUUUGUUGGUUUGUUGGGACUGAGUAAUGAUUAAGAGGGACAGUUGGGGGCAUUUGUAUUUCGGCGCUAGAGGUGAAAUUCUUAGAUUGCCGAAAGACAAACUGCUGCGAAAGCGUCUGCCAAGGAUGUUUUCAUUGA